rnacentral:rRNA from 1 species
GAUGAACGCUGGCGGCGUGCCUAACACAUGCAAGUCGAACGGAGUCCAGCCUUUAAGACCUUCGGGUCAAAGAGGGGAAGACUGAGUGGCGGACGGGUGAGUAACACGUGGGCAACCUGGCUCAUAAAGGGGGAUAACAGAGAGAAAUUUCUGCUAAUACCGCAUAAGCACACACUGCCGCAUGGCAGAGGGUGAAAAGAGAAUCGCUAUGAGAUGGACCCGCGUCUGAUUAGCCAGUUGGCAGGGUAAGAGCCUACCAAAGCGACGAUCAGUAGCCGAUCUGAGAGGAUGAACGGCCACAUUGGGACUGAGACACGGCCCAGACUCCUACGGGAGGCAGCAGUGGGGGAUAUUGCACAAUGGGGGGAACCCUGAUGCAGCGACGCCGCGUGAGUGAAGAAGUAUUUCGGUAUGUAAAGCUCUAUCAGCAGGGAAGAUAAUGACAGUACCUGAAUAAGAAGCCCCGGCUAACUACGUG